rnacentral:rRNA from 1 species
UGGGGAAUUUUGGACAAUGGGGGAAACCCUGAUCCAGCCAUCCCGCGUGUGCGAUGAAGGCCUUCGGGUUGUAAAGCACUUUUGGCAGGAAAGAAACGUCAUGGGUUAAUACCCCGUGAAACUGACGGUACCAGCAGAAUAAGCACCGGCUAACUACGUGCCAGCAGCCGCGGUAAUACGUAGGGUGCAAGCGUUAAUCGGAAUUACUGGGCGUAAAGCGUGCGCAGGCGGUUCGGAAAGAAAGAUGUGAAAUCCCAGAGCUCAACUUUGGAACUGCAUUUUUAACUACCGGGCUAGAGUGUGUCAGAGGGAGGUGGAAUUCCGCGUGUAGCAGUGAAAUGCGUCGAUAUGCGGAGGAACACCGAUGGCGAAGGCAGCCUCCUGGGAUAACACUGACGCUCAUGCACGAAAGCGUGGGGAGCAAACAGG